UGUAGGUGCUGUUUCCUCCAGUCAGUUCAUCCUAACACUGUUCCUCUGAUACCUGUAGGUGCUGUUUCCUCCAGUCAGUUCAUCCUAACACUGUUCCUCUGCUACCUGUAGGUGCUGUUUCCUCCAGUCAGUUCAUCCUAACACUGUUCCUCUGCUACCUGUAGGUGCUGUUUCCUCCAGUCAGGAUGGGAUCUCUGCAGCAGAGGUGGAGCUGAGAGUCAGACCAGGAGACAACGUCGUUCUUCAUUGUGACAUCAAAGAUUAUCUGGAUACAAAUUGGCACAGAAACAGCUCCAUUGGGAACAGGAGUCAUUUCAGAAUUUCCAAAUCCAAUCCUGUCCGUCGAUUCUAUUUCCUGUUGCGUUCUCAACAGUUCUAUGAUCUACUGAUAACUAACGUCUCUGAAUCUGACCUGGGACUCUACUACUGUGGGAGCUGGCAGAGACCUGUGGUGAACAAGGAAGGGUUUCUCAGUGACACAGAAGAAGAUGUCUACCACCAUGGAAAUGUCAUCACCAGACUUUCAUUUGAAACCCGUCCAACUGAGCCCUCCUCCUCCUCCUCCCCUGAUGUAGACUGUGGUCUGUGUUGGAUGUUGCUGUUCAGUCUGUGUCCUGUGUCUGCUCUCCUCUCCUCUCUCCUCUCCUCCACCUGUGUCUACUCCUUCUGCAGAACAACAGGUAAACUGACUCUCUCACUUCCUCUCAUAGUCAGUCUUCUACUUACUUUUCAGUCACUCAUUAUUUAAAUGUCUCUGUUUUCUGAAUCAGUGUUAUUCUUGUCCUUUUUUGACCUCAGACUUGUUUUAAUGGUGAUAAACUCUUCCUCUUCAGCUCCAACUGACUCUCAGAUCAAGUCGACCAUCAGGGGAAGUGAGAGCAGAGUACAGGUAGAGUCAGACUGGGAUAUUUAGUUCUUUUAGGGGUG
rnacentral:lncRNA from 1 species